rnacentral:lncRNA from 1 species
UUCUGCUCCACUCCCUGCGGCAGGUGCUGCGCGACUCCACUACUCCCUGACAGCUAGCGGCAACGGACGCCGCUCCACUACCUGCAUCUGGCUCUACGUAGCAGGCCGUAACAAUAGCCACGUGUCUACUCCACUAUCCUUCGCAAUCAAUUCCCCUGACCAUGGGCGGCCCACUACCAGACGGUUACAAACGUCGCCAUCAAUCCGUUGCC